UCAAGGAAGAAAUUUUGACGGUACUUGAGGAAUAAGCAUCGGCUAACUCUGUGCCAGCAGCCGCGGUAAUACAGAGGAUGCAAGCGUUAUCCGGAAUCACUGGGCAUAAAGCGUCUGUAGGUGGCUUAUCAAGUCUGCUGUUAAAGACUAGGGCUUAACCCUGGGAAAGCAGUGGAAACUAGUAAGCUUGAGUGUGGUAGGGGUAGAGGGAAUUCCUGGUGUAGCGGUGAAAUGCGUAGAUAUUAG
rnacentral:rRNA from 1 species